UUUCCCACUUGGAGAACAUCCUGGUCUGGCCUGGCUACACUGCAAGCGCUCGGCAGCCUCUUGUGGUCAGUGGCUGCCCCAGUGAGCAGCACAGCUACAGAGGCCCAGGAAAACCAACCCCAGGAGCGUGGAUGUUCACUGCCUUCCUUCAACCACUCCAGGCAGGAUUCCUGCGGAGCUGUAUUUACUUUACAUCCAUGUGAACUGCUGUCAUCACUACUGUGUCCAAGCCCAGAGGAUGAACUGGAAAAGAAGAGAGGGGGAAAAUAAUAAAAAGAGGAAAUUGGUUUUCACAACACACUCAAAGCCUGAGUAACAGAGGAGAACUUUAAUUAUCUCCAGUCACAAAGAGAGACAGGAAAUUUGGACUUUUAAUUAGCCAUUUGGAGUGCAGUUGGAUAUUUUUUUAGCUAGAUAAUUUAAAUGCGAAUAAUUCAAGUCUGACUAAAUGAAAGUCACAUAAUCAGAAUGCAAAUAAUUGAAUUUCUACUGCAUUCAUUAAUUCAGUGUGGAGGUGUGUGUGAAGACUACUAUGAUGAGCUGUCACAGCUCAAUAAAAUCUCAGUCAAUUAAUUUUUUCA